UGCAAUUAGAUGAAACAUCUGAUAUAAGCUCAUCAAGCUGACCCAGAGCCUACUUGGAGAAAUAGAAGACGAAAGUCUAGUAUUUAGUAGCUCAGAUUCUGAAGAAAAAAUGGAAAUAGAGGAUUGUUUCUGUCAGACUCUUACUGAGGAAGAUAAUCUAAUUAUAGAAAUAAUAGAUAAAAUCACUGACCCUGAAGCAAAGAGAGAAGCUUUAACCCAAUUUACUCAAAUAGAAAAAAUAAAAAGAAAACCUCCCCUCUUAUUAAAACACAAGACGACUAUAGCCUAGCUAAAAUCCUGAAAAGGAUUAAUAAAAAAGACAAUAGUCAAAAAGAGUCAUCUGUUGCUGAACUUAAGCAUGAAUUAAUAUAAGUAAAAAAUGAAUUAAUAAUUCUUAAAAAUAGAAUAAGGGUUUUA
rnacentral:lncRNA from 1 species